GACAGAGGUCUCAAGCGUUGUUCGGAUUCAUUGGGCGUAAAGGGUGUGUAGGUGGCGCCGUAAGUCGGGUGUGAAAUUUCGGAGCUUAACUCCGAAACUGCAUUCGAUACUGCGGUGCUUGAGGACUGGAGAGGAGACUGGAAUUCAUGGUGUAGCAGUGAAAUGCGUAGAGAUCAUGAGGAAGACCAGUGGCGAAGGCGGGUCUCUGGACCACAACUGACGCUGAGGCGCGAAAGCUAGGGGAGCAAACAGG
rnacentral:rRNA from 1 species